UGCGUAGGCGGUUUCGUAAGUGCCUUGUGAAAUCCCAUGGCUCAACCAUGGAACGGCUCGGCAGACUGCGGAACUUGAGGUUGGUAGGGGCUACUGGAACUCUAGGUGGAGCGGUGAAAUGCGUAGAUAUCUAGAGGAACGCCAAAGGUGAAGACAGGUAGCUGGGCCAAUUCUGACGCUGAGGCACGAAAGUGUGGGGAGCGAACGGGAUUAGAUACCCCCGGUAGUCCACGCCCUAAACGAUGUACACUAGAUCCUGGAGGCUCUGACGCCAUCGGGGUCGAAGCCAAAGUGCUAAGUGUACCGCCUGGGGAGUACGGUCGCAAGGCUAAA
rnacentral:rRNA from 1 species